rnacentral:rRNA from 1 species
UAGUUCGAUCCUGGCUCAGGAUGAACGCUGGCGGCAUGCCUAAUACAUGCAAGUCGAACGGAGUGAAGCCUUCGGGUUUCAUUCAGUGGCGAACGGGUGAGUAAUACGCAGGGAACCUGGCCAUGGCAGGGGGAUACACUCUGGAAACGGAGCAUAAGACCCCAUAGGCAGUAAGGCGGCAUCGCCUUGCUGUUAAAGAAAGCUGAAAGGCUUUGGCGAUGGAUGGACCUGCGGUGCAUUAGCUUGUUGGUGAGGCAACGGCUUACCAAGGCGAUGAUGCAUAGCCGGCCUGAGAGGGCGGACGGCCACACUGGGACUGAGACACGGCCCAGACUCCUGCGGGAGGCAGCAGUAGGGAAUUUUCGUCAAUGGGCGCAAGCCUGAACGAGCAAUGCCGCGUGAGUGAGGAAGGUCUUCGGACUGUAAAGCUCUGUUGCCGGGGAAAAAGGGGAAAUGCAGGAAAUGGCAUUUCAUGGAUGGUACCCGGCCAGAAAGCCACGGCUAACUACGUGCCAGCAGCCGCGGUAAUACGUAGGUGGCGAGCGUUAUCCGGAAUGAUUGGGCGUAAAGGGUGCGCAGGCGGUCUGUUAAGUCUGAAGGCAAAGGGAUGAGCUCAACUCAUUUAUGAUUCAGAAACUGGCAGACUUGAGGACAGGAGAGGGCGGUGGAACUCCAUGUGUAGCGGUAAAAUGCGCAGAGAUAUGGAAGAACACCAGUGGCGAAGGCGGCCGCCUGGCCUGUGACUGACGCUGAGGCACGAAAGCGUGGGGAGCAAAUAGGAUUAGAUACCCUAGUAGUCCACGCCGUAAACGAUGAGGAGCAGGUGUUGGGAGUGAAAUCUCAGUGCCGAAGCCAACGCAGUGACUCCUCCGCCUGGGGAGUAUGCACGCAAGUGUGAAACUCAAAGGAAUUGACGGGGGCCCGCACAAGCGGUGGAGUAUGUGGUUUAAUUCGAAGCAACGCGAAGAACCUUACCAGGUUUUGACAUCGGAUGCGAAGGCGCAGAGAUGCGCUGGAGGCUAUCAUCCAGACAGGUGGUGCAUGGUUGUCGUCAGCUCGUGUCGUGAGAUGUUCAGUUAAGUCUGGCAACGAGCGCAACCCCCGUGGUAUGUUACUAACGCAUUUGGGCGAGGACUCAUAUCAGACUGCCGGUGACAAACCGGAGGAAGGCGGGGAUGACGUCAAAUCAUCAUGCCCCUUAUGGCCUGGGCUACACACGUACUACAAUGGCGUCUACAGAGGGAAGCGACCCUGAGAAGGGAAGCGAAACCGGAAAAGGGCGUCCCAGUUCGGAUUGAAGUCUGCAACCCGACUUCAUGAAGAUGGAAUCGCUAGUAAUCGCGGAUCAGCAUGCCGCGGUGAAUACGUUCCCGGGCCUUGUACACACCGCCCGUCAAACCAUGGAAGCCGGCAACGCCCGAAGCCGGUGGCAUAACCUUUUAGGAGUGAGCCGUCGAAGGCGGGGCCGAUGACUGGGGUUAAGUCGUAACAAGGUACCC